UACGUAGGUGGCGAGCGUUAUCCGGAAUCAUUGGGCGUAAAGAGGGAGCAGGCGGCAGCGAAGGUCUGCGGUGAAAGCCCGAAGCUAAACUUCGGCGAGCCGUGGAAACCGAGCAGCUAGAGUGCAGAAGAGGAUCGCGGAAUUCCAUGUGUAGCGGUGAAAUGCGUAGAUAUAUGGAGGAACACCAGUGGCGAAGGCGGCGAUCUGGGCUGCAACUGACGCUCAGUCCCGAAAGCGUGGGGAGCAAA
rnacentral:rRNA from 1 species